GACGUAGGGCGCGAGCGUUGUCCGGAUUUAUUGGGCGUAAAGAGCUCGUAGGCGGCCAACUAAGUCAUACGUGAAAUCCCUCAGCUUAACUGGGGAACUGCGUGUGAUACUGGAUGGCUUGGAUUUGGGAGAGGGAUGCGGAAUUCCAGGUGUAGCGGUGAAAUGCGUAGAUAUCUGGAGGAACACCGGUGGCGAAGGCGGCAUCCUGGACCAAUAUUGACGCUGAGGAGCGAAAGCCAGGGGAGCAAACGGG
rnacentral:rRNA from 1 species